rnacentral:rRNA from 1 species
UACGAAGGGGGCUAGCGUUGUUCGGAAUUACUGGGCGCAAAGCGCACGUAGGCGGAUUGACAAGUCAGGGGUGAAAUCCCGGGGCUCAACCUCGGAACUGCCUUUGAUACUGUCAGUCUAGAGUCCGGAAGAGGUGGGUGGAAUUCCUAGUGUAGAGGUGAAAUUCGCAGAUAUUAGGAAGAACACCGGUGGCGAAGGCGGCCCACUGGUCCGGAACUGACGCUGAGGUGCGAAAGCGUGGGGAGCAAACAGG